AGCAUCUUCUCUGUUGUAAUAAUUUCAUUAGGUGUUUAUUUUUUCAGUAUGUUUUAAAUGGGUAAUAUUAUAUUGACCCCAUUCAAAGCUCUAUGGAGGUAUUUCUUUGGCUCAGGUGGUUGUUACGUAGAUGGUGAAUACUUUAACCAAGGAGAUAAAUGGUACGACGAAAAAACCCAACAAUACAUGAUGUGCGGCUUCGAUGGUGAGCCAAUACCUAGAGGCUCAUCGGACAGUGACAGUGACUCCAAAUUAAAUAUCGGUUGAAUAACUUAUAAAAUGGACUAUUAAAUCUGUUAUGAAUUUAUUUGUUACUUUUUACGAGCUAUGGAAUAUAUUGUAUUGAUGUUAAACAUUAAUAUGUUGUAGCUUGUGAAAUGCCUAAAAAUACCUUCAUUGCAUAUAAAUAUGAAUAAUACAAAUUGCAUACAUGUAUAUAUACUAUAAGUGAACUAAUUCAACAAUCAAAUAAACUAUAUUUAA